rnacentral:rRNA from 1 species
AGAGUUUGAUCCUGGCUCAGGAUGAACGCUGGCGGCGUGCUUAACACAUGCAAGUCGAGCGAAGCACCUUGACGGAUUUCUUCGGAUUGAAGCCUUGGUGACUGAGCGGCGGACGGGUGAGUAACGCGUGGGUAACCUGCCUCAUACAGGGGGAUAACAGUUGGAAACGGCUGCUAAUACCGCAUAAGCGCACAGUACCGCAUGGUACGGUGUGAAAAACUCCGGUGGUAUGAGAUGGACCCGCGUCUGAUUAGGUAGUUGGUGGGGUAACGGCCUACCGAGCCGACGAUCAGUAGCCGACCUGAGAGGGUGACCGGCCACAUUGGGACUGAGACACGGCCCAAACUCCUACGGGAGGCAGCAGUGGGGAAUAUUGCACAAUGGGGGAAACCCUGAUGCAGCGACGCCGCGUGAGCGAUGAAGUAUUUCGGUAUGUAUAGCUCUAUCAGCAGGGAAGAAAAUGACGGUACCUGACUAAGAAGCCCCGGCUAACUACGUGCCAGCAGCCGCGGUAAUACGUAGGGGGCAAGCGUUAUCCGGAUUUACUGGGUGUAAAGGGAGCGUAGACGGCAUGGCAAGUCAGAUGUGAAAACUAUGGGCUCAACCCAUAGCCUGCAUUUGAAACUGUAGUUCUUGAGUGUCGGAGAGGCAAUCGGAAUUCCGUGUGUAGCGGUGAAAUGCGUAGAUAUACGGAGGAACACCAGUGGCGAAGGCGGAUUGCUGGACGAUAACUGACGCUGAGGCGCGAAAGCGUGGGGAGCAAACCAGGAUUAGAUACCCUGGUAGUCCACGCCGUAAACGAUGGAUACUAGGUGUGGGGGGGUCUGACCCCCUCCGUCUGGCAGCUAACGCAAUAAGUAUCCCAUCUGGGGAGUACGAUCGCAAGGUUGAAACUCAAAGGAAUUUGACGGGGGCCCGCACAAGCGGUGGAGUAUGUGGUUUAAUUCGAAGCAACGCGAAGAACCUUACCAGGGCUUGACAUCCUACUUAUGAACCAGAGAUGGAUUAGGUGCCCUUCGGGGAAAGUAGAGACAGGUGGUGCAUGGUUGUCGUCAGCUCGUGUCGUGAGAUGUUGGGUUAAGUCCCGCAACGAGCGCAACCCUUAUUGUUAGUUGCUACGCAAGAGCACUCUAGCGAGACUGCCGUUGACAAAACGGAGGAAGGUGGGGACGACGUCAAAUCAUCAUGCCCCUUAUGUCCUGGGCCACACACGUACUACAAUGGCGGUUAACAGAGGGAGGCAAAGCCGCGAGGCAGAGCAAACCCCUAAAAGCCGUCCCAGUUCGGAAUGCAGGCUGAAACCCGCCUGUAUGAAGUCGGAAUCGCUAGUAAUCGCGGAUCAGCAUGCCGCG